rnacentral:miRNA from 1 species
UGGAGAUCCAAUGCUC